UAAGUACCCCGAGGAAAAGAAAUCAACCGAGAUUCCCCCAGUAGCGGCGAGCGAACGGGGAGCAGCCCAGAGCCUGAAUCAGUGUGUGUGUUAGUGGAAGCGUCUGGAAAGGCGUGCGAUACAGGGUGACAGCCCCGUACACAAAAAUGCACAUACUGUGAGCUCGAUGAGUAGGGCGGGACACGUGGUAUCCUGUCUGAAUAUGGGGGGACCAUCCUCCAAGGCUAAAUACUCCUGACUGACCGAUAGUGAACCAGUACCGUGAGGGAAAGGCGAAAAGAACCCCGGCGAGGGGAGUGAAAAAGAACCUGAAACCGUGUACGUACAAGCAGUGGGAGCACGCUUAGGCGUGUGACUGCGUACCUUUUGUAUAAUGGGUCAGCGACUUAUAUUCUGUAGCAAGGUUAACCGAAUAGGGGAGCCGAAGGGAAACCGAGUCUUAACUGGGCGUUAAGUUGCAGGGUAUAGACCCGAAACCCGGUGAUCUAGCCAUGGGCAGGUUGAAGGUUGGGUAACACUAACUGGAGGACCGAACCGACUAAUGUUGAAAAAUUAGCGGAUGACUUGUGGCUGGGGGUGAAAGGCCAAUCAAACCGGGAGAUAGCUGGUUCUCCCCGAAAGCUAUUUAGGUAGCGCCUCGUGAAUUCAUCUCCGGGGGUAGAGCACUGUUUCGGCAAGGGGGUCAUCCCGACUUACCAACCCGAUGCAAACUGCGAAUACCGGAGAAUGUUAUCACGGGAGACACACGGCGGGUGCUAACGUCCGUCGUGAAGAGGGAAACAACCCAGACCGCCAGCUAAGGUCCCAAAGUCAUGGUUAAGUGGGAAACGAUGUGGGAAGGCCCAGACAGCCAGGAUGUUGGCUUAGAAGCAGCCAUCAUUUAAAGAAAGCGUAAUAGCUCACUGGUCGAGUCGGCCUGCGCGGAAGAUGUAACGGGGCUAAACCAUGCACCGAAGCUGCGGCAGCGACGCUUAUGCGUUGUUGGGUAGGGGAGCGUUCUGUAAGCCUGUGAAGGUGUGCUGUGAGGUAUGCUGGAGGUAUCAGAAGUGCGAAUGCUGACAUAAGUAACGAUAAAGCGGGUGAAAAGCCCGCUCGCCGGAAGACCAAGGGUUCCUGUCCAACGUUAAUCGGGGCAGGGUGAGUCGACCCCUAAGGCGAGGCCGAAAGGCGUAGUCGAUGGGAAACAGGUUAAUAUUCCUGUACUUGGUGUUACUGCGAAGGGGGGACGGAGAAGGCUAUGUUGGCCGGGCGACGGUUGUCCCGGUUUAAGCGUGUAGGCUGGUUUUCCAGGCAAAUCCGGAAAAUCAAGGCCGAGGCGUGAUGACGAGGCACUACGGUGCUGAAGCAACAAAUGCCCUGCUUCCAGGAAAAGCCUCUAAGCAUCAGGUAACAUCAAAUCGUACCCCAAACCGACACAGGUGGUCAGGUAGAGAAUACCAAGGCGCUUGAGAGAACUCGGGUGAAGGAACUAGGCAAAAUGGUGCCGUAACUUCGGGAGAAGGCACGCUGAUACGUAGGUGAAGCGACUUGCUCGUGGAGCUGAAAUCAGUCGAAGAUACCAGCUGGCUGCAACUGUUUAUUAAAAACACAGCACUGUGCAAACACGAAAGUGGACGUAUACGGUGUGACGCCUGCCCGGUGCCGGAAGGUUAAUUGAUGGGGUUAGCGCAAGCGAAGCUCUUGAUCGAAGCCCCGGUAAACGGCGGCCGUAACUAUAACGGUCCUAAGGUAGCGAAAUUCCUUGUCGGGUAAGUUCCGACCUGCACGAAUGGCGUAAUGAUGGCCAGGCUGUCUCCACCCGAGACUCAGUGAAAUUGAACUCGCUGUGAAGAUGCAGUGUACCCGCGGCAAGACGGAAAGACCCCGUGAACCUUUACUAUAGCUUGACACUGAACAUUGAGCCUUGAUGUGUAGGAUAGGUGGGAGGCUUUGAAGUGUGGACGCCAGUCUGCAUGGAGCCGACCUUGAAAUACCACCCUUUAAUGUUUGAUGUUCUAACGUGGACCCGUGAUCCGGGUUGCGGACAGUGUCUGGUGGGUAGUUUGACUGGGGCGGUCUCCUCCUAAAGAGUAACGGAGGAGCACGAAGGUUGGCUAAUCCUGGUCGGACAUCAGGAGGUUAGUGCAAUGGCAUAAGCCAGCUUGACUGCGAGCGUGACGGCGCGAGCAGGUGCGAAAGCAGGUCAUAGUGAUCCGGUGGUUCUGAAUGGAAGGGCCAUCGCUCAACGGAUAAAAGGUACUCCGGGGAUAACAGGCUGAUACCGCCCAAGAGUUCAUAUCGACGGCGGUGUUUGGCACCUCGAUGUCGGCUCAUCACAUCCUGGGGCUGAAGUAGGUCCCAAGGGUAUGGCUGUUCGCCAUUUAAAGUGGUACGCGAGCUGGGUUUAGAACGUCGUGAGACAGUUCGGUCCCUAUCUGCCGUGGGCGCUGGAGAACUGAGGGGGGCUGCUCCUAGUACGAGAGGACCGGAGUGGACGCAUCACUGGUGUUCGGGUUGUCAUGCCAAUGGCACUGCCCGGUAGCUAAAUGCGGAAGAGAUAAGUGCUGAAAGCAUCUAAGCACGAAACUUGCCCCGAGAUGAGUUCUCCCUGACCCUUUAAGGGUCCUGAAGGAACGUUGAAGACGACGACGUUGAUAGGCCGGGUGUGUAAGCGCAGCGAUGCGUUGAGCUAACCGGUACUAAUGAACCGUGAGGCUUAACCUUACAACGCCGAAG
rnacentral:rRNA from 1 species